rnacentral:rRNA from 1 species
UACGUAGGGGGCAAGCGUUGUCCGGAAUUAUUGGGCGUAAAGCGCGCGCAGGCGGUCAUUUAAGUCUGGUGUUUAAGCCCGGGGCUCAACCCCGGUUCGCAUCGGAAACUGGAUGGCUUGAGGUUGGGAGAGGGAUGCGGAAUUCCAGGUGUAGCGGUGAAAUGCGUAGAUAUCUGGAGGAACACCGGUGGCGAAGGCGGCAUCCUGGACCAAUUCUGACGCUGAGGAGCGAAAGCCAGGGGAGCAAACGGG